UACGUAGGGGGCAAGCGUUGUCCGGAUUUAUUGGGCGUAAAGAGCGUGUAGGCGGCCAUACAGGUCAGCUGUGAAAACUCGAGGCUCAACCUCGGGCCUGCAGUGGGUACGGGCAGACUAGAGUGCGGUAGGGGAGAUUGGAAUUCCUGGUGUAGCGGUGGAAUGCGCAGAUAUCAGGAGGAACACCAAUGGCGAAGGCAGAUCUCUGGGCCGUAACUGACGCUGAGGAGCGAAAGCAUGGGGAGCGAACAG
rnacentral:rRNA from 1 species